AUUGAACGCUGGCGGCAGGCCUAACACAUGCAAGUCGAGCGAGCGGCGGACGGGUGAGUAAUGUCUGGGAACCUGCGUGUAGGAGGGGGAUAACUACUGGAAACGGUAGCUAAUCCCGCAUACCAUCAGAUGUGCCCAGAUGGGAUUAGCUAGUCGAGGGGGUAACGGCUCACCUUGGCGACGAUCCCUAGCUGGUCUGAGCGGAUGACCAGCCACACUGGAACUGAGACACGGUCCAGACUCCUACGGGAGGCAGCAGUGGGGAAUAUUGCGCAAUGGGCGCAAGCCUGAUGCAGCCAUGCCGCGUGUGUGAAGAAGGCCUUCGGGUUGUAAAGCACUUUCAGCGGGGAGGCGGUACCCGCAGAAGAAGCACCGGCUAACUCCGUGCCAGCAGCCGCGGUAAUUC
rnacentral:rRNA from 1 species